AUAAUUUCACAAACAUGUUAUUUUGAUAACAAUUGUAUUAUUACCUGUGCUAUAAAGGCAAUAAUCAUUACAAUAAGAAUUAUGAAACGUAUGAAAAAUUUCAUGAAUUUUCCCUGAUCAGGCCACACACCAACAAGCUGUCCGAAAAAUUUGUUAUCCUUGAGAUAUAACUCUUCCAUUGCUUGUUGAUCCAUAUUUUAUCACACAAUAUUUUAUCACAAGAUCUCUUUUAUCUUUUAGACUAUCCUCGAGAAGCGUUUCUCAAGUUUUCAAAUCCACGAAGAAAUUGCCAUGACUAGGACAGUUUAAGUGCAAAUGUGAAUAUUCUCCACUGCAAUAGUGACAGUAGUAACAAUAUGUAGUAGCUAUGGCUAGUGAUGCGGUAAUCUGUAUGCACUAAGUGGAUAAGUGGAUCUAUAUGAGGGGAUUGAAAAAUUAAUGGUGGAAAGUAUUCUUUUCAAUACUCGUCCCAGCAUUUUAAUCACAGUAUAACAUUCGUAGCAAGAAUAUUGCAUUAUGCCAAAUUAAUCACGUGCAUAUUGCCCUCUUCACGUGGUAUCUGGUACUAUAUCUCUGCAUUAUCCUGUAAGUAAUUAUAAAUAAUUAAAUAUUUUUCAAAGCAUUUUUAAUUUUUAAUAAAAAUAUUAAAUGAAAAUACUAAAAUGAAAGGGUAUAUUAUUUUAUUCGUUAUUUUCAGCACUUAUAUAAC